GUCGCUUCUCGGCCUUUUGGCUAAGAUCAAGUGUAGUAUCUGUUCUUAUCAGUUUAUAGUGCUAGUCAUUGUAUGACACUGCUUGGCAGCAGCCGUAAAGAAUUUCCCUCUGGGAUUAAUACAGUAUCUAAAAAAUAAAAUAAAAAUAAAGAGUCUGCUAUCACCUAGUCUUU
ensembl:snRNA U2 U2 spliceosomal RNA